rnacentral:rRNA from 1 species
AGUGAACGCUGGCGGUAGGCCUAACACAUGCAAGUCGAACGGCAGCACAGUAAGAGCUUGCUCUUACGGGUGGCGAGUGGCGGACGGGUGAGGUAUACAUCGGAAUCUACUUUUUCGUGGGGGAUAAGGUAGGGAAACUUACGCUAAUACCGCAUACCACAUACGGGUGAAAGCAGGGGAUCUUCGGACCUUGCGCGAUUGAAUGAGCCGAUGUCGGAUUAGCUAGUGGGCGGGGUAAAGGCCCACCAAGGCGACGAUCCGUAGCUGGUCUGAGAGGAUGAUCAGCCACACUGGAACUGAGACACGGUCCAGACUCCUACGGGAGGCAGCAGUGGGGAAUAUUGGACAAUGGGCGCAAGCCUGAUCCAGCCAUACCGCGUGGGUGAAGAAGGCCUUCGGGUUGUAAAGCCCUUUUGUUGGGAAAGAAAAGCAGCAGGUUAAUACCCCGCUGUUCUGACGGUACCCAAAGAAUAAGCACCGGCUAACUACGUG